UACGAAGGGGGCUAGCGUUGCUCGGAAUUACUGGGCGUAAAGCGCACGUAGGCGGCUUGUUAAGUCAGGGGUGAAAUCCUGGAGCUCAACUCCAGAACUGCCUUUGAUACUGGCGAGCUUGAGUUCGGGAGAGGUGAGUGGAACUGCGAGUGUAGAGGUGAAAUUCGUAGAUAUUCGGAAGAACACCAGAGGCGAAGGCGGCUACCUGGACAAUUGCUGACGCUCAGGCACGAAAGCGUGGGGAGCAAAAGGG
rnacentral:rRNA from 1 species